GAAUGGUCUGAAGUAAGUAGCUUCCUC
rnacentral:piRNA from 1 species